UACGGAGGGUGCAAGCGUUAUCCGGAUUCACUGGGUUUAAAGGGAGCGCAGGCGGAUUUGUAAGUCAGUGGUGAAAGCCCAUCGCUCAACGGUGGAACGGCCAUUGAUACUGCCAGACUUGAAUUAUUAGGAAGUAACUAGAAUAUGUAGUGUAGCGGUGAAAUGCUUAGAGAUUACAUGGAAUACCAAUUGCGAAGGCAGGUUACUACUAAUGGAUUGACGCUGAUGGACGAAAGCGUGGGUAGCGAACAGG
rnacentral:rRNA from 1 species